CCUGGCGGCCAUAGCGCCGUGGAACCACCUGAACCCAUGCCGAACUCAGAAGUGAAACGCGGUAGCGCCGAUGGUAGUGUGGCAUUCGCC
rnacentral:rRNA from 1 species